GGCACGACUGCAAAACGCAGGGAGAGCUCUCGGAGGUCUGCACCUUUUGGGCAUCUGCUGGUGCUGAGGCUUGCAGGGCUAAAUGUGGGAAGAAAAGCUUGUGUGGUGGCCGCCAUCCUCGGCAUGUGGAGAGAAGGUCCAGAAGCCGAACAGAUCCUGCCUGGUGCGGGGCUGGGAACCAGCCAUCAUCUCAGCCCUUGGCCGAGGCUCUCAGACCAAAGACGAGCAGGAACAGGCAGACUGAAAGGAGAGCUGCUCUCAAAAGCUCUUCUGUCCGAUAUAUGCUUUUCUUUGCUGCUCUGAGUCAGUAUUUGGUCUUACACUUUUGCUUUUCCCAGCCCAGCUAGGAGUGGAAGCGCUGGAGUUCCUGAGUACUUGGUAGCGAAUGUGACUAAGGAAUAAAAACAGUGAUUCACGCGUGU